GCGGGGCGUGGCCGUACUCUGAUUGGUGACGGGUGAGGUGGGCCCGGCUGCUGCCCGAAAUCUUAGGACUUCCGAAAGCAGCGGCGGCGUUUGCUUCACUGCUUGAAAGUGUGAAUGCGCGAAGAUGCGAAAGGUGGUUUUGAUUACCGGCGCGAGCAGUGGCAUUGGCCUGGCCCUCUGCAAGCGGCUGCUGGCAGAAGAUGAUGAGCUUCAUCUGUGUUUGGCGUGCAGGAAUAGGAACAAGGCAGAAGCUGUCCGUGCUUCUCUGCUGGCCUCUCACCCCACUGCUGAGGUCACCAUUGUCCAGGUGGAUAUCAGCAACCUGCAGUCCGUGUUCCGGGCCUCCAAGGAACUUAAGCAAAGGUUUCAGAGAUUAGACUGUAUAUAUCUAAAUGCUGGGAUCAUGCCUAAUCCACAGCUAAAUAUCAAAGCACUUUUCUUUGGCCUCUUUUCAAGAAAAGUGAUUCAUAUGUUCUCCACAGCUGAAGGCCUGCUGACCCAGGGUGAUAAGAUCACUGCUGAUGGACUUCAGGAGGUGUUUGAGACCAAUGUCUUUGGCCAUUUUAUCCUGAUUCGGGAACUGGAGCCUCUCCUUUGUCACAGUGACAGUCCAUCUCAGCUCAUCUGGACAUCGUCUCGCAAUGCAAGGAAAUCUAAUUUCAGCCUCGAGGACUUCCAGCACAGCAAAGGCAAGGAGCCCUACAGUUCUUCCAAAUAUGCCACUGACCUUCUGAGUGUGGCUUUGAACAGGAACUUCAACCAGCAGGGUCUGUAUUCCAAUGUGGUGUGUCCAGGUACAGCACUGACCAAUUUGACAUACGGAAUUCUGCCUCCCUUUAUAUGGACACUGUUGAUGCCGGCAAUAUUGCUACUUCGCUUUUUUGCAAAUGCAUUCACUUUGACACCAUACAAUGGAACAGAAGCACUGGUAUGGCUUUUCCACCAAAAGCCCGAAUCUCUCAAUCCUCUGAUCAAAUAUCUCAGUGCCACCACUGGCUUUGGAAGAAAUUACAUUAUGACCCAGAAGAUGGACCUAGAUGAAGACACUGCUGAAAAAUUUUAUCAAAAGUUACUGGAACUGGAAAAGCACAUUAGGGUCACUAUUCAAAAGACAGAUAAUCAGGUUGGGCACAGUGGCUCAUGCCUGUAAUUCCAGCACUUUGAGAGGCCAAGGCGGAAGGAUCACUUGAGACUAGGAGUUCGAGACCAGCCUGAGAAACAUAGUUUUCUAUAAACAUUCUAUAAGUGAAAAUGAGAGCUGCACACCACUGUGUCCACUGUCUUUGGGAGAGAAGGGUGAAGCUGACCUGAAAUCGAGCUGUUUUUCACUCUUCCAUUCACUCACAUUGUAAAUUUGGAAGAAGGACAUUAUGUAUUGUGAAUCUCAGGUUCCUCAUAACGUAAAGUGGAGUGGUUAUCUUUUUGCUGCUUCUACUCAUGGGUAUGGAGUGAACCUUUAAUGCAAUAAUAUAUGUGAAUGAAUAAAGAGCUUUUUAACACA